rnacentral:pre_miRNA from 1 species
GCCAUAGUAUGUAUUUAUUGAAAAACAUUUGAGUAUUAAGUGGGUCCGUGCACUUCAAACCUGUGUUUUUCAAGGGUCAACUGUGUAU